AUACGUAGGGUGCAAGCGUUAAUCGGAAUUACUGGGCGUAAAGCGUGCGCAGGCGGUUUUGUAAGACAGUGGUGAAAUCCCCGGGGUCAAACUGGGGACUGCCAUUGUGACUGCAAGGGUUGAGUGCGGCCGAGGGGGAUGGGAUUCCUCCGGUCGCGGGGGAAUGCGUAGAUAUGCGGAGGAACACCGAUGGCGAAGGCAAUCCCCUGGGCCUGCACUGACGCUCAUGCACGAAAGCGUGGGGAGCAAACAGGAUUAGAUACCCUGGUAGUCCACGCCCUAAACGAUGUCAACUGGUUGUUGGGGAUUUAUUUUCUCAGUAACGAAGCUAACGCGUGAAGUUGACCGCCUGGGGAGUACGGCCGCAAGGUUAAAACUUAAAGGAAUUGGCGGGG
rnacentral:rRNA from 1 species